AAAAAGAAGAAAGAAAAAGAAAAAGAGGAGAGAAUCGAGAGAAAGAAGGAAGGAGAAAGAGAAGAUAAAAAAUCUAAUAGAGAAAAGGUAAAUUUUUUUAUUAUAAAUUAAUAGAUUAAUGUUUUAAUUUGUUUUUUAUGUAAUGAGAAUUAAAACAUUAAUUUAACUUUAAUUUAUUUGUUAAGUGUGUUUUAGGUUGAUUAGAUAUAUUUUUUAUGAAAUUUAU
rnacentral:lncRNA from 1 species